rnacentral:rRNA from 1 species
AGAGUUUGAUCAUGGCUCAGAUUGAACGCUGGCGGCAUGCUUAAUACAUGCAAGUCGAACGGUAACAGAUUCUUCGGAAUGCUGACGAGUGGCGGACGGGUGAGUAAUACAUAGGAAUCUGCCCAUGUAGUGGGGGACAACUUGGGGAAACUCAAGCUAAUACCGCAUAAUUCCUACGGGAUAAAGAGGGCCACUGCUUGCAAGCUCUUGCUACUGGAUGAGCCUAUGUCGGAUUAGUUAGUUGGUAAGGUAAUGGCUUACCAAGACAGCGAUCCGUAGCUGGUUUGAGAGGAUGAUCAGCCACACUGGGACUGAGACACGGCCCAGACUCCUACGGGAGGCAGCAGUAGGGAGUAUUGGACAAUGGGCGCAAGCCUGAUCCAGCAAUGCCGCGUGUGUGAAGAAGGCCUGCGGGUUGUAAGGCACUUUCAAUUGGGAAGAAAGAUUAUGAGUUAAUACCUUAUAAUAUUGACG